UGUCUCUCUCUCUCUCUCUCUCUCUCUCUC
rnacentral:sRNA from 1 species